rnacentral:rRNA from 1 species
AUUGAACGCUGGCGGCAGGCCUAACACAUGCAAGUCGAGCGGAUGAAGGGAGCUUGCUCCUGGAUUCAGCGGCGGACGGGUGAGUAAUGCCUAGGAAUCUGCCUAGUAGUGGGGGAUAACGUCCGGAAACGGGCGCUAAUACCGCAUACGUCCUGAGGGAGAAAGUGGGGGAUCUUCGGACCUCACGCUAUCAGAUGAGCCUGGUCGGAUUAGCUAGUUGGUGGGGUAAAGGCCUACCAAGGCGACGAUCCGUAACUGGUCUGAGAGGAUGAUCAGUCACACUGGAACUGAGACACGGUCCAGACUCCUACGGGAGGCAGCAGUGGGGAAUAUUGGACAAUGGGCGAAAGCCUGAUCCAGCCAUGCCGCGUGUGUGAAGAAGGUCUUCGGAUUGUAAAGCACUUUAAGUUGGGAGGAAGGGCAGUAAGUUAAUACCUUGCUGUUUUGACGUUACCAACAGAAUAAGCACCGGCUAACUUCGUG